rnacentral:rRNA from 1 species
CCUACGGGGGGCAGCAGUGAGGAAUAUUGGGCAAUGGAGGCAACUCUGACCCAGCCAUGCCGCGUGAGUGAAGAAGGUUUUCGGAUUGUAAAGCUCUUUCGGAUGUGACGAUGAUGACGGUAGCAUCUAAAGAAGCCCCGGCUAACUUCGUGCCAGCAGCCGCGGUAAUACGAAGGGGGCAAGCGUUAUCCGGAUUUACUGGGUGUAAAGGGCGUGUAGGCGGGAAAGCAAGUCAGAUGUGAAAACCAUGGGCUCAACCUGUGGCCUGCAUUUGAAACUGUUUUUCUUGAGUACUGGAGAGGCAGACGGAAUUCCUAGUGUAGCGGUGAAAUGCGUAGAUAUUAGGAGGAACACCAGUGGCGAAGGCGGUCUGCUGGACAGCAACUGACGCUGAGGCGCGAAAGCGUGGGGAGCAAACAGGAUUAGAUACCCUUGUAGUC